GACGAACGCUGGCGGCGCGCUUAACACAUGCAAGUCGAGCGAGAACCGGGGCUUCGGCCCCGGGGACAGCGGCGAACGGGUGAGUAACACGUGGGUAACCUGCCCUCGGCACCGGGAUAGCCCGGGGAAACCCGGAUUAAUACCGGACAGCCUCCGGAGCCUUCGGGCGCCGGAGAAAAGGUGGCUUCGGCUUCCGGCCGAGGAGGGGCCUGCGGCGGAUUAGCUUGUUGGCGGGGUAAUGGCCCACCAAGGCGACGAUCCGUAGCUGGUCUGAGAGGACGAUCAGCCACACUGGGACUGAGACACGGCCCAGACUCCUACGGGAGGCAGCAGUGGGGAAUCUUGCACAAUGGGCGCAAGCCUGAUGUAGCGACGCCGUGUGCGGGAAGAAGGCCUUCGGGUUGUAAACCGCUUUCAGGAGGGACGAAGCUCCUCGGGUUAAUAGCCCAGAGGGUGACGGUACCUCCAGAAGAAGCCCCGGCUAACUACGUGCCAGCCGCCGCCGUAACAC
rnacentral:rRNA from 1 species